rnacentral:rRNA from 1 species
GACGAACGCUGGCGGCGUGCUUAACACAUGCAAGUCGAACGCUGAAGCUCAGCUUGCUGGGUGGAUGAGUGGCGAACGGGUGAGUAACACGUGAGUAACCUGCCCUCUUCUUUGGGAUAACGCCCGGAAACGGGUGCUAAUACUGGAUAUUCACUGAUUCUCGCAUGCGGGUUGGUGGAAAGGUUUUUUCUGGUGGGGGAUGGGCUCGCGGCCUAUCAGCUUGUUGGUGGGGUGAUGGCCUACCAAGGCUUUGACGGGUAGCCGGCCUGAGAGGGUGACCGGUCACAUUGGGACUGAGAUACGGCCCAGACUCCUACGGGAGGCAGCAGUGGGGAAUAUUGCACAAUGGGCGAAAGCCUGAUGCAGCGACGCCGCGUGAGGGAUGGAGGCCUUCGGGCUGUAAACCUCUUUCGCUCAUGGUCAAGCCGCAGCUUUGGGUUGUGGUGAGGGUAGUGGGUAAAGAAGCGCCGGCUAACUACGUG